UUUGGUGUAUUAUGUCCGUAAGUUGUGAUUUAGUAACUGAGUUACAAUGGGCUGUGGAGGGAAUUCUCACUACACGACGUACACUUUGUGGAUCUUGAGAAUUUAUUGAACAAUUGGCAUUGUGUUUAUUUUGGAAAUUUCAAGCACAGACCUAAAGGAGGGGAAACGGCAGCCCUGGAGCCUGCGUGCGGCUUCAACCUGACCCUUCUACGUGAAGCAGCGGCCUCACAGGAUCCAGGUAUCAGUGUGACAGCAAAGGUGUCUCCAGACGCUGCCGGAGGCCCCUGGGGACAAAACUGCCACGCGAAACACCGCAGGUUUAGAGACAGGUUAUUUUCUGGGUGUUCACGUGACAGGAUUUCUUUGUCUUCUGGGAACUUUCUCACUGGGACAAGACACAUGCAUGGGCAACAGCUGACCACUGGAGGGACCCAGCAGCUGAGUGCAGGGCAGGCCAGCUUCCAGGAGUGAACGGACCCGCCAGCACAGGGAGGAGGCCUCCCGGCCCUGCGGCGGCCUGGCCCACCCGAGAGCACCCCCCUUCCUGGCAGCAAUGGGGUCAGGAUGCCUGAAUCCCUGGGGCUCCCGCCCACAGCCCACCCGUUAGAAGGGCAGGAUGGGGACACGGGGGUGAUGGAGGCAGGUGGUGGGGCUGCAGCAUCUCUGGGGUCAGCUGUGCAGCGUUUGGUGGACAGUGAUGGGGUGUGCAGCUCUCCUGAGGGGGUGCUGACUGCAAUCCUGGGCCCCGCCUCUAAAUGGACCUUCCAGGCCAGCUACCCAGAGAGGGAGGGCUUGAUCAUCGGAGCCAAGGAGGUGAAAUGUGCCGGAAGCCACCCAGCCCCACAGGAGGGGGAGCAGGGCCGCCACAGUCCUCCUCAGGGUGCUGGGUCUGCCCCGUCCGUGGAGUUCCGCUGCCCCUUGCUCUUGGGGAGCAUUCGCCAGUCUUGCUGCCCAGGGUACACAGCAGCAGCCCUCUCAGGGCCAGUAGCCUCUCCUCGGCCACCCCUGUGGGGAUGGGGACUUUGCCCCAGAUGCCCACAGGCUGCCCCUGGCACAGGCCAGCCUCAGGGUGAUAGGUGUGUGAGUCCAUGUGUGCGCAUCUGUGUCCACUUCCUCGCUCAGCUGGCAGUCUGGGGCCCCAGUGUCCCCUGCAGCCCACUGCCCACGUCUGCCAAGGUGCACGCAGGUGGGGCACAGCCUGGGAGCUCUGCUUUCUGCAGUUCUGUGCCCAGCAGGCUCUCCCCAGAGACGGGCCCGGCCCGAGAGCUUCCAGGCCAGCCAGCCGCGUCUUAGUGAAGCCGCCUGUUUCCCUGAGUCCCUCUGAGACCUUACUUACUGUCAUCGGAAGGGGAUUAUUUGCAUUGAUGGGGCUGCUUCCAUACUUUGCUGCAUCCCCAUGGCCACACUCACAGGGCUCUGAGUCCCCGGCACCACGUUGGAGGGGAAGAGGGGGCGGCCUUCCACCUGACCCACACUGCAGAUGGACAGUGACACCAGGUGGCUGAGGGACACUGUUGUGCCAGGCUCCUUGCAGCCCUGAGCCCCACCGCAGGCCUCAUCGGAACUGGCCCUCGGGCAUGCAGGGAGGGGGCCUGCGGUGGAGACCCCACGUGCCCUCAGGGGAAUGCACCCCCCUGCCGGGAGAAGGUCCACGUGCAGCCAUGGUCCUUGGGGAGCCCGAGAGUGCCAGCCUCUCCCUCCACAAGGCCCUGGCCACCAUCGCCACCUUCACUGCGUGAUGAGGUCAUAAGAGGUCCUGGGGAAGAAUCCAGUAAAUGCAUUCUGGGAUGAAGGCUGAGUCAGAGGUGGGAAAAAAGGGAGAAGAAUCAAGGCCAGGGUGACAGGAGGAGCCGGGGGAGGUGGGGGGACGGGUGUGCAGGGAGGGGUCGGCUGCUGUGGGGGGCGCUCAGGCGGGUGGGGUGUCUCCUGGGGGGGCGGGGCUGGCUGUCCUCACCAGGAGAGGCCAACCCCAGAGCCUCGCAGUCCCUGCCCUGCAGGCACACACACGUGGCUGAGAAGACAGAAAGCAGCCUCUCCUGGGGUGCAGUGCCACCGAGGAAGAGGCCUUCCCAUCAGGGCCGGCCUCUGGGGGCCGCCGGCCCGGGCAGCCUCAUGGCCGGCCGCGGUGGUGGAGGAGAGAGCUGAAGCUGACUCUAGGCGACAGAGCUGGCGGAGAAAGGAUGUCCAUGGUGCCGCUCUUUUAAUUAAGGAACUAAGCUGUUAGAACCCAGGCUUCCCCCUGACGUGGCUGCUUCCAGCAAAAUACCUCUGGUUCUGCUGUUUCCCACACACAGACCUGGCAGCAGUUAAAAUAGAGAUGCCGAGAUUCCAAAGUUUCAUCCCGUGAACCCAUCUGGUUUAAAGAAGUACAACCAGUGGGAAAGGGAGUUGAAUCAAAGCGCAACUUGUGUUUUCCUAAAUACAGAAAGCCUGUGAGGUAGGCCAGCAAACAGCCCCACCCCUCCCGGGGCCCAGGGCUGCCCCCGCACCCCACCUCUGCUGGACCCCAGUCGGGACUCAGAGGCUGCUCCAAGGCGGGUGUUGGAGGUGUUGGAGGUGUUGGAGGGGGACAGGGCUGUGCCGAGGUCCCCACGGAGAAGCCGGGUCCUGGACCCUCACAGAGGACAGGCCUCCCCAUUUGCAAGGCACCGGACUCACAUUCUCCCGGGCUCCGCCUCCCUCUGGCCACCUGCACAGGCUUUGAUCUGCAGCACACCUGGAGACCAGUGCCUCCCCCCAGCAGCGUCACACGUGUCCCACACCCCCUGUGGGCUCCUCUGCUGGGCAGAAGGGGGCUGCAGGGCCCCUCCCUCCUCAACUCCAGGCCCCAGCAGCUGGAUCUCAGCGCACAGCCCCACGAGGCUUCCCUGGGGGGCUGUGUAACCCGCCCCUCCAAGACAUUUGUCACCAGACUGCUGUACCCAUAGCUCACCGGGCACCUCAGCCCCUAAGGGCCUUAGGGGUCUCCAGCCUCACCCCAGUGUGGUGCAGGGGUCCAUCCAGUGCGUCCUCACACCAGUGAGCAGUUCUGUGGGGUCACAGGGCUCCUACAUAGGGGCCCUGGGCACAUGGAGGAAGGGGGCUUGCGGGGUGCACUGGGCAAGUCUCCAGAACCACCAGCCACUUGUGCCAGGGCACCGGGAGGGACGGGCAGUUCCCUGAGCCAUCCCAGGGGCUGGACGGCUCACAUCCCAGACAGAGGCUCCAAGAUCAUGGGAGACGUCUCACCACAUCCCAGAGUCCUUGGGUCCCCGAGGCCCCGAUGAGGGGCCAAAUGGGUGAAAGGGGAGCGGAUAGGCCCCACCUGCCUCCACUUGCUCAAGGUCGCCUCUUUCCCACAGUGGAUGUCCAUCAUUUUCAGAAAAGCUUCAAGACUGAAGGACCAAAAAAAAAAAAAAAAAGACUGAAGGACCCUUCUGGUCCAAGCUCUCGUCCUCCCCAGCAGCUGUACAUCUGGAGAGAGCGAGGGGAGCAGCGCAGGCCUCUGGGCCAACGGGGAGCCCAGAGGAAGACGCUCCAGGGGGGCCCACGAGAUGCAGGUGGAAUAGGACCCGGGCCCCACACAGCACAGCACAGAGGCAUGGCCAAACAGGAAUGAGGGGCUGGAAAAGGGAGAGGACGGUCACAGGAGGACAAGGAUUGUCCGGGGAAGGUCAGACUGCACCUGCAGUGGGCGGGGGCACACCUAGCCCUUGUUUCAGGGACGAGGGCCCGAGACUGGCCCGAGCGCCACUCUGAAAUGUGGAGUGCAUGGCAGAAGCUGGAUGACCCUAGCCAGCCCUUCCCUGUGACCCCCAGGAUGAAAGUGAUAGCAGCCUGUGGAGGUGGCAGAUAGCAGGGCACCCACCUGAGAACCAGCAGUUGCCCUUCACAGGGGACUGGAUGCUGGUCAGCAAUAGAGACCUGGCCAGCACAGCAUGGCCGGCCAGGCACUCAGCUCACCACGCCAAUGUCACUUGCUCCCAGCCAGGCAAAGGCCCCCACAGGGGCCGUGGGGAGGAAACCACACUCUGGGGCUGCUCCCCAGGCCGGGCAAGCAUCUGUAGUGUCCAGCCCACCAGCCGCCUGGCACUGGGACGCAGCUGGCAGGGGGCCUGCUGUUCACCUUGGUUCCAUUCCCGAUCCUUAGCGUGUGAGUGGCCCCCGUGCCGGACAGCAGCGCAGCUCUGCAUGUCAAAUGGGUGGUGAUCUUGGGAGCGGGCUGUGCACGUGGGUGCGUCCUCUUACCUGCAAACACCAGGUGCCAUCGUUAGUGUGGGGGAGCUUCUCCUCACUUCAGCUUUGAUGUCUACAACCAUGGUUCCCAUCCCAAGCCCCCGGCCCCCACGGUCUGGAUGGUACAGGGAAGAGGGAGGCCCGAGAACCAGUGUCCCCAGAGGGGUGCCCAGCACCUGCAGGGGAGACCAGCUCAGCUGGGCAGACCACUGCCCAUCACUCCUGCAGGCCUCCCAGGACAAGGUGGGUGCCAGGUACACUCAUGACCCCAAGCAGGGAGCCCAUUGACACAGCAGGCUCGCCCAGAGGGAGCCCUGCAGUUGGGGGUGGACGGGUGCCCAUCAGGGCUAGGUGUCCAGGGCCGCCCUUAGGAGUGUGUUCCUGAUGCUACAUCCAGGGAGCUGCUGGCCAGAUGCUGCGAGUCUUCAUGCCCUGGUGCAGGUGCUCUUUGAAGCUCUGAGGGGCCCUGACUCCAGAGCUCACCCCUCAGCAGCUUUGGUUGCCCUCUCCCUUCCUAGACCUGCCUCUCAGGAACAGGUCCUGCCAUCUGACUGCUAAGCUCUUGGUCACUUCCCGCCACCAGGGCAAAUGCAUCUGGAAAAAAAAAGAGUCCAGCCCAGGGCGGACAUCAGGAAAUGCCUGGCCGGGCCCUCAGAGAGGUGGCACCAGGCUGCCAGGGCCACAUGGCAGCAGUUGUCACGAACACACUGGGACAGGCACAGAAGGGGGACAGAACCUCAGCCACUUGCACUUCCCAUCCAUCUCGUGUCCAAGCCGGCAGCCUUGACGGUGACCGCCGUCCAUCAGCACUUCCUGCUUGGACUCAGGAAGGGAGGGAUCAAAGGGUUCCUCUGGCCCCAUCCCUGGUGUUGAGCUGAUGGGGAGAGGUCCCUCACCACCUGGCCUGGGAAAAAAGCUUCACAGGCAGGUUUCAAGAUGACUCAUGACCACUGUCAUUGUGCCUCCGUCCAGGUCACUCCAUGGGGACACUCACAGCGAAUAAAGUCAAUAAACAGGGGAAAAUGCAGGCCUGGGCCGGGGCCAGACUGGGAAACGCUACCAGAGCAGAAUUGUCUGUUUUUGUCUUUCCCGAACAGAGUCAGGGCUUUCCCUCUUCCCCUCCUGCCCCCAGCGGACAGUGUCCUGUCCUGUGUGAUGGUGACUGUUGUCCUGGCUUCUGUAGAAAAAAACACAGGCACCUGUCCUGAGAACAGGCCAGGAGUGGGGGCCCAAGUCCUCAAGAGGGAAACGUCCGGGUGAGGAAUUUAAGUAACAAGGCCCCUUGCACACCUGGGACGGAGGAGACUCGGCAGCACAACCAGGCGGAGGUUGGGCUGGGGACUCAAGGUGGAAGUGGGGGCGGGGCGCACGGACCGGCCGGGAGAGGUCGCUGGGAGGCGUGGCCUGGGAGGGGGCUGGGAGGAGGGGCUCGGAGCGCGCUGCAGGGACCCCCGCCCCGCCCAGGGCCCGACCUUCGGACUGUGGGGACGUGGCUGAGGGGACCGCGAGUCCCCGAGUUGAACAGAACUCGCUCUCCCCAAGACAUCCCGCGCGAUGUAACUGGACGCAAAGAAAUGGACACUCAGGCAGCUUCCAAAAGAGGCGAAACCG